UGGCGUCCGGAUUUUGAGACCGAGUCGGUGUCAUCUUUAGAAGAAUAUGACACCAAAGAAGUAGACUCAGACUCUGAUGACAGUGAUGAAGACUACAGUCCACGUAUCUGUGUUCAGGGUGCUUCAAAGACGGCCGUUAACUUAGAAGAUAUUUCGGCAAUCAGCAUGGAGGACACGGUGCACGAUGUCUUACGUUCCCACAAUCCAUCGAGCACUGAGAUGCCUCCAACCAAACACUCUCUUAAGGUCCAGGUUGUGGAGGAUGCAACUGGUCAUUCAGCAUCCAUAGUGUACCAUGAUUGUCUGAAGCAGUUGGCCAAUUACCUUGUUUUACCAGUCACAAAGUGUAAUGCUCACGAUAUUAACACCAAGUUACAGUGUGGGGCUUGUCAACCUUCUGAAAUUAGUGUGACAUCCAGGGGCACAGCUGCUAUUAUUGAAUGGAUAUGUUCUUCAGACCAUACUGUUUGGAAAUGGUCUUCACAGCCAACUUUCACUCAUGGCAUGCUAAUUGGGGACUUCAUGUUGGCCACCAACAUACUACUGUCAGGCAACAACUAUGCCAAAAUAGCACUUCUCUUCAAGUUCAUGAGAAUGGGCAUGGCAGAAAGGACUUCUUUCUUCAAGAUACAGGACACCUAAUGUGUAUACUCCAUCAAAGAUUUCUGGCUUUCAAAGAGAGCUGAAAUCAUCCACCAGUUACAGUCGAAAGGACCAAUUGUAGUAUUGGGAGAUGCUAGGAUGGACAGUCCAGGAUUCUGUGCACAGUACUGCACAUACACGGCCAUGGACAAUGAGUCCAAAAAAAUGAUCAGCAUGGUCAACAUAGACAAGCGAGAAACACAAGAGGAAUUGGGUUGUAAUGGAGAAAGAGGCCUUCAUUCGUACCUUUGAGACACUCUGUGAGGAGCUCAAGGUUACGGAGUUUUGCACCGAUGCCCAUGUUCAAAUAUCUGCCCUCUUCAACAAGGGGAAAUAUAAAGACAGUGGUGUACAACACACACUCGACAUCUGGCAUGGAGCUAAAAGCUUGA